ACCACGCUCUUCCGAUUCUCUUUUCCGAAGUUACACCUACAACUACUCAUUGAAAAUAAUCCUAUUCUUAUGGGUAAAUGCUCAAUAUCCAAGUGGGCUUACAAAUUUGAUCAUGAUCAAUUGCUUUGUGGAUUGU